UGGGGAAUAUUGCACAAUGGACGCGAGUNUGANGCANCGACGCCGCGUGGAGGAUGGCNGCCNUNGGGUUGUNAACUCCUUUCAGUAGGGAAGAAGCCCUUUUGGGGUGACGGUACUUGCAGAAGAAGCGCCGGCUAANUACGUGCCAGCAGCCGCGGUAAUACGUAGGGCGCAAGCGUUGUCCGGAAUUAUUGGGCGUAAAGGGCUCGUAGGCGGUUGGUCACGUNUGCUGUGAAAACNCNAGGNUUAACUUNGCGCCUGCAGUGGGUACGGGCUGACUAGAGUGUGGUAGGGGAGGCUGGAAUUCCUGGUGUAACGGUGGAAUGCGCAGAUAUCAGGAGGNACACCGAUGGCGAAGGCAGGUCUCUGGGCCANUACUGACGCUGAGGACCGAAAGCAUGGGUAGCGAACAGGAUUANAUACCCUGGUAGUCCAUGCNNUAAACGNUGGGCNCUAGGUGUUNGGACCGCUUCCACGGGUUUUGNNCCGNAGCUCACGCACUCAGAGCACA
rnacentral:rRNA from 1 species